UCUAUUUUGUUGGUUUCUAGGACCGCCGUAAUGAUUAAUAGGGAUAGUCGGGGGCAUCAGUAUUCAAUUGUCAGAGGUGAAAUUCUUGGAUUUAUUGAAGACUAACUACUGCGAAAGCAUUUGCCAAGGAUGUUUUCAUUAAUCAGUGAACGAAAGUUAGGGGAUCGAAGACGAUCAGAUACCGUCGUAGUCUUAACCGUAAACUAUGCCGACUAGGGAUCGGGCGAUGUUUCUAUCUUGACUCGCUCGGCACCUUACGAGAAAUCAAAGUUUUUGGGUUCUGGGGGGAGUAUGGUCGCAAGGCUGAAACUUAAAGAAAUUGACGGAAGGGCACCACCAGGCGUGGAGCCUGCGGCU
rnacentral:rRNA from 1 species